rnacentral:rRNA from 1 species
AGAGUUUGAUCCUGGCUCAGGAUGAACGCUAGCGGCAGGCCUAAUACAUGCAAGUCGAGCGGCAAGUUAGGUAGUAAUACUUGACCUAGAGCGGCGCACGGGUGCGUAACGCGUAUGCAACCUACCUUUUACUGGGGGAUAGCCCGGAGAAAUCUGGAUUAAUACCCCAUAGUACCUAAGGAUCGAUUGGUUUUUAGUUUAAAGAUUUAUCGGUAAAAGAUGGGCAUGCGUCUGAUUAGCUAGUUGGCGGGGUAACGGCCCACCAAGGCGACGAUCAGUAGGGGUUCUGAGAGGAAGGUCCCCCACACUGGCACUGAGAUACGGGCCAGACUCCUACGGGAGGCAGCAGUAGGGAAUAUUGGGCAAUGGUCGCAAGACUGACCCAGCCAUGCCGCGUGCAGGAAGACGGCCCUCUGGGUUGUAAACUGCUUUUAUCUGGGAAGAAAAAGUCCAUGCGUGGAAAAUUGCCGGUACCAGAUGAAUAAGCACCGGCUAACUCCGUGCCAGCAGCCGCGGUAAUACGGAGGGUGCAAGCGUUGUCCGGAUUUAUUGGGUUUAAAGGGUGCGUAGGCGGCUGAAUAAGUCAGCGGUGAAAGACUUCGGCUUAACCGGAGCAGUGCCGUUGAUACUGUUUAGCUUGAGUGUUGGAGGGGUACAUGGAAUUGAUGGUGUAGCGGUGAAAUGCAUAGAUACCAUCAGGAACACCGAUAGCGAAGGCAUUGUACUGGCCAACAACUGACGCUGAGGCACGAAAGUGUGGGGAUCGAACAGGAUUAGAUACCCUGGUAGUCCACACUGUAAACGAUGAUUACUCGCUGUUAUGGUGUAUGCUGUAGCGGCCAAGCGAAAGCGUUAAGUAAUCCACCUGGGGAGUACGCCGGCAACGGUGAAACUCAAAGGAAUUGACGGGGGUC